GACGAACGCUGGCGGCGUGCUUAACACAUGCAAGUCGAACGGAAAGGCCCUGCUUUUGUGGGGUGCUCGAGUGGCGAACGGGUGAGUAACACGUGAGUAACCUGCCCUUGACUUUGGGAUAACUUCAGGAAAUUGGGGCUAAUACCGGAUAGGAGCUCCUGCUGCAUGGUGGUGGUUGGAAAGUUUCGGCGGUUGGGGAUGGACUCGCGGCUUAUCAGCUUGUUGGUGGGGUAGUGGCUUACCAAGGCUUUGACGGGUAGCCGGCCUGAGAGGGUGACCGGCCACAUUGGGACUGAGAUACGGCCCAGACUCCUACGGGAGGCAGCAGUGGGGAAUAUUGCACAAUGGGCGGAAGCCUGAUGCAGCAACGCCGCGUGCGGGAUGACGGCCUUCGGGUUGUAAACCGCUUUCGCCUGUGACGAAGCGUGAGUGACGGUAAUGGGUAAAGAAGCACCGGCUAACUACGUG
rnacentral:rRNA from 1 species